AUUGAACGCUGGCGGCAGGCCUAACACAUGCAAGUCGAACGGUAACAGGAAACAGCUUGCUGUUUCGCUGACGAGUGGCGGACGUGUGAGUAAUGUCUGGGAAACUGCCUGAUGGAGGGGGAUAACUACUGGAAACGGUAGCUAAUACCGCAUAACGUCGCAAGACCAAAGAGGGGGACCUUCGGGCCUCUUGCCAUCGGAUGUGCCCAGAUGGGAUUAGCUAGUAGGUGGGGUAACGGCUCACCUAGGCGACGAUCCCUAGCUGGUCUGAGAGGAUGACCAGCCACACUGGAACUGAGACACGGUCCAGACUCCUACGGGAGGCAGCAGUGGGGAAUAUUGCACAAUGGGCGCAAGCCUGAUGCAGCCAUGCCGCGUGUAUGAAGAAGGCCUUCGGGUUGUAAAGUACUUUCAGCGGGGAGGAAGGGAGUAAAGUUAAUACCUUUGCUCAUUGACGUUACCCGCAGAAGAAGCACCGGCUAACUCCGUG
rnacentral:rRNA from 1 species